rnacentral:rRNA from 1 species
AUUGAACGCUGGCGGCAGGCCUAACACAUGCAAGUCGAGCGAGCGGCGGACGGGUGAGUAAUGUCUGGGAAACUGCCUGAUGGAGGGGGAUAACUACUGGAAACGGUAGCUAAUACCGCAUACCAUCAGAUGUGCCCAGAUGGGAUUAGCUAGUAGGUGGGGUAACGGCUCACCUAGGCGACGAUCCCUAGCUGGUCUGAGAGGAUGACCAGCAACACUGGAACUGAGAUACGGUCCAGACCCCGACGGUGGGCAGCAGUGGGGAAUAUUGCACAAUGGGCGCAAGCCUGAGGCAGCCAUGCCGCGUGGGUGAAGAAGGCCUGCGGGUUGUAAAGCACGUUGAGCGGGAAGGCGUUACCCGCAGAAGAAGCACCGGCUAACUCCGUGCAAGCCGCCGCGGUAAUA